GGGGUGCUGUGCAGGGAGUGUCGGCCAGGUCUGGCGCACUGUCCCAGGCCCCAGGCUAAGGUGGCCAAGGGAAAUGAGGCUUAGGGAUUUCUGAGCAAACGGCACCACUGGUGGUCUCCAGCGCCAGCGGAGAAAUUUCAAUUUUAGGAAUCUACCCAGAAGAAACAAUGGGAUGGAUGUGAAGAUACAGUCAAAAGAAUGCUCAGUGAGAUGAAGAAAUAUGCUCCAGAGGAUCUAUUGACUUUAUUUACCAGUCAAGAUUAAUUUGAAUUGAGAUCUUUCUAACACCAAAGUUGUGUCCACUAUAUGAUGCUGCUGCCCAGUAUGCUCAGAGUGUAUUGAUAUUCUCACGCUACAAACAUACAAGACCUCAGACCACUGAUUUCCUGAGCCUGGCCUUAUGACACGAAUCAGCUUCAGGAAAAUUUCAGCCUUUGCUCUGUCCAAGAAUAAAGCAGGAGCUGUCCAUCUGAAAGCAGUCUGUUCAGCAGGUAAAAGGAAGCCAGCAGAAAAUAGGGUAACCAGAAGUAGUUACCUUGACCUAGAGUGGAGAGAAAUGGAAUGACUUAAUUUAGUCAUAUUGUCUGGUCAUUAUGCUAAUUAGAGGAAAUAAAAAAGGAAGAGAAGGCAAAUGGAAAGGAAAAGAAUGGUGGUUAGGGGAAUACCUGAGAGAAAUAAACUGAUUGCUAUUUACGGUUCCAAUGAGGUAAAACCAAAACCGAAACUUCUUUGCACUGCCUGUUUAUGACUUUACUUUGGGGGGAAAAUUCUUUUACUGUAUUUCAGCUUCUCUACCUAAUAAAUAUUGGAAACAAACUUUACAAUUUUAUAACUACUUCUCUCCCUGUGCUUGGAGAUUGUUCC